rnacentral:ncRNA from 1 species
UCAAAGUUUUAUUUUAACUUGGGAAUUUGGGUUUAUUUUGUAGUACAUGUAAAUUUUAGUGAUUUUUAUAUAAAUUUUUAAUGGGUUUAUAUUAUUUUUAAUUGCAGUAUUUGAUUUUAUUAAUAAGGGUGAUCUUGAUAUAGCGAAUUGUUUAAAUGUUAACAUAACUUGUGCCAGCAGUUGCGGUUACACAUGUGAUAUAACUAAAUUUUUUUGGUUGGUAGUUAAUUUGGUGCAUUGAUUUAGUAAUUAAGUUUUUUAGGUGGAAUUUAAAAUUUAAGUUUGUUUUGGGAUUGUUAAUGAGGCUAUUAAAUUAUUUUUUAAACUAGGAUUAGAUACCCUAUUAUUUUUAAUGUAAAAUUUUAAGCUAGAUUAUUAAUAGCUAUGUUCUUUAAAUUUAAAAGAUUUGGCGGUAUUGUAGUCUUUUCAGAGGAACCUGUCCUGUAAUUGAUAGUCCACGAUUAAUUGUACUUUUUUUAGUAGUUUGUAUAUCGUCGUAGCUUGAAAAUUUUAUAAGGAAAUUAAUUUUCAUGAUGUAUAAUUGUUCAUAAUAUCAGAUCAAGGUGCAGCUUAUAGGGGAGAAGAGAUGGGUUACAAUAAAUUUAUUUAGACAGUAAAAUUGAUUAAUAUUUAUUUUUAAGGUGGAUUUGGAAGUAAUAUAAUUAAUAUAAUUUGUAUGACUUGAGCUCUAUAAUAUGUACAUAUCGCCCGUCGUUCCAAUUUUAAGGUUGGACAAGUCGUAACAAAGUAGGCUUACUGGAAAGUGUGCCUGGAAUGAC